UAGGAUUGAAAUGCAGCUAAGCUGUCAUAAGCCCAAGACGCACUUAAAGUCACCUUCAAGAUGAUCCUAGCGCCUCUGAUUAAUUUAACCCCACGAAAGCUAGGGCACAAACUGGGAUUAGAUACCCCAUUAUGCCUAGCCCUAAAUCUUGAUGCUUACCACACUAAAGCAUCCGCCGGAGAACUACGAGCACAAACGCUUAAAACUCUAAGGACUUGGCGGUGCCCUAAACCCACCUAGAGGAGCCUGUUCUAUAAUCGAUAAUCCACGAUUUACCCAACCACCUCUCGCCAAAGCAGCCUACAUACCGCCGUCGCCAGCCCACCUCCUCUGAGAGCCCUACAGUGGGCAUAAUAGCCCAACCCGCUAAUAAGACAGGUCAAGGUAUAGCCUAUGGGGUGGAAGAAAUGGGCUACAUUUUCUAUAAUAGAAAACCCACGAAAGAGGACAUGAAACAGUCCACGGAAGGCGGAUUUAGCAGUAAAGUGGGACAAUAGAGCCCCCUUUAAGUCGGCCCUGGGGCACGUACAUACCGCCCGUCACCCUCC
rnacentral:rRNA from 2 species